rnacentral:misc_RNA from 1 species
ACAGGUGAUAUCAUGGAGUUUUCUGUCAUUUCAAUAUUUGCUAUAGAAAUUUAAUCGCCAGGAAGUGCAUGUUCAAGAAUGUGUGACUCAUUCAGAGAGGAAACCAGCCAUUGUAAGGGAAGUAGAAGUGAACUAUCUGAAUGGGCCCAGUCAGGUGAAGCCACUGCGGAAACUAACACUAAGGAUGUCCAAAAUCUUGUCAGGCCAAAUAGUUUCCCAGAAUCAUAUGGCAGAAGCAAGGAAACUAGCAAUCGUGAGGCAAACAUUAUCUGAAGUUGGCCUGUCAUGUAAAGAAACAACCAAUACUAUUAUUAAUGACAUAAAACAAUUGGUUAUUCAACAAAAUGGUAUUAUAGGACAGAAUGACAGGUCCCGUCUUGACCUGGAACUAUUUGGAAUAGCUAUACCAUGGACAACUUUUUAUGGCUGUGUCUUUUAUGUUCCAGAUUGUGAUUGCCCUAAUAGCUCAAGUGAACUUUAUCUAUGUAAGCUAGACAUAAGGUUGUAUGGAGGAAAAGUUGUAGAACAAUUAAGUGAAAGUGUUUCCCAUGUACUCGUGUGUGGAUCUUGUGAUAACCGACAUCUUAGCUCGUCAAAUGAAACUAAACAAAAGUUUGUAACUAAACAAUAGAUCGAAAAGUGCAUUGAAAGCAGAGUCUUGCUCAAAAAUAUGUAUUUCGAUUCUUUGUAAUUGUCUGAUGGACAACCGUGCUGUGUUAUGAAACUUGAAUAAAAGGAGGUGAAAUCUCAUAAA